rnacentral:tRNA from 1 species
GCGCCCGUAGCUCAGCAGGAUAGAGCAUCGGUUUCCUAAACCGGGGGCCAGGGGUUCGAAUCCCUUCGGGCGCACCA